rnacentral:rRNA from 1 species
UGGGGAAUAUUGGACAAUGGGCGCAAGCCUGAUCCAGCCAUGCCGCGUGUGUGAAGAAGGCCUUUUGGUUGUAAAGCACUUUAAGCGAGGAGGAGGCUCCUAUAGUUAAUACCUAUAGAGAGUGGACGUUACUCACAGAAUAAGCACCGGCUAACUCUGUGCCAGCAGCCGCGGUAAUACAGAGGGUGCAAGCGUUAAUCGGAUUUACUGGGCGUAAAGCGUGCGUAGGCGGCUUUUUAAGUCGGAUGUGAAAUCCCUGAGCUUAACUUAGGAAUUGCAUUCGAUACUGGGAAGCUAGAGUAUGGGAGAGGAUGGUAGAAUUCCAGGUGUAGCGGUGAAAUGCGUAGAGAUCUGGAGGAAUACCGAUGGCGAAGGCAGCCAUCUGGCCUAAUACUGACGCUGAGGUACGAAAGCAUGGGGAGCAAACA